rnacentral:rRNA from 1 species
CUUAGAUGCCUUCAGCGGUUAUCCUGUCCGAUCAUAGCUACUCUGCACUGCUGCUGGCGCAACAACAGAUCCACCAGUGGAUCGUUCACCCCGGUCCUCUCGUACUAGGGGCAACUCCCAUCAAGUCUCCUACACCCACGGCAGAUAGGGACCGAACUGUCUCACGACGUUCUAAACCCAGCUCACGUACCUCUUUAAAUGGGGAACAGCCAUACCCUUGGGGCAGCUCCAGCCCCACGAUGAGAUGAGCCGACAUCGAGUGCCAAACACUGCCGUCGAUAUGGACUCUUGGGCAGUAUCAGCCUG